rnacentral:rRNA from 1 species
CAGUAGGGAAUCUUCCACAAUGGACGCAAGUCUGAUGGAGCAACGCCGCGUGAGUGAAGAAGGUCUUCGGAUCGUAAAACUCUGUUGUUAGAGAAGAACACGAGUGAGAGUAACUGUUCAUUCGAUGACGGUAUCUAACCAGCAAGUCACGGCUAACUACGUACACG